AUGAAGGUGCGUUCAUCUGUGAAGAAGAUGUGUGAAUACUGUAGGACGAUUAAACGCAAAGGACGGGUUUAUGUCUUGUGCACAGCAAACCCUAAGCAUAAACAAAGACAAGGCAUGUCAACAUUUGCAGAUGAAGCCGCGUCUCAUCAGCCGUCCGUGGAGAUAAGUUCAAGCUGCACCACACAGGAGAUUAAGCCAUCCCAUACUUUUCGAACAGGUCUGGCUUCAAUUAUUCCUCAAAGGCACAGCUUGUCUAUGUUGUAUGGAUGGAGAGUUGGCCUGGCCUCUAUUCUGUCUAAGAAGUAG